GACCAACCAUCAAAGUAGGCACGCACGAUGACCUCCAAGAGGACCCUACCGUGGAAGUUUGAACACUCAAUCCAACCUGCUUGCUUGCGUAACUUGGGUGGAACUCGGAGGUGUACUCGAAAACCUUCCUGAUGGGCUUUUGUUUAGGAUUUCCAUUACUUUUGGCUAUGAUUUGGUUUUAGGUUGUACUUUUGGAUUUGAAAUGUAACUCUUUGGGCGAUGAUAUAAC